CAGAGCACAGAGGGUCUUCACCUUCAGGGCGUGAGGAGCCAGAAUACGCCUGGAAUGCCUUGAAAGAGCCACCCGUGGAAGGUUCAGGAAGGCUCCCCGGGGAGCUGGCCUGUGAGACAGGCCUGGAAGAAUGAUGCUCGUUCUCAGCAUUGCCGUCUGCAAGCAUUCUUGGAGAGCCGUUUUCAUUGGGUUUUCUGCCCGUGGGGCACGUAAAGCCUCCCCAGCCUCCUGCAGGCGACCCUAAGCUGCCUCUCCCCCGAACUCGAACACUCUCACAAUCAGACUCCCACAGUCAGACACACCAGUCAGCACCGGAUGCAUCUCCAACUGCACGGCGUGUGUCCAUUGUGUUUUCCCUACCGGCCUGUUUGCCGUCUAGAGAUCACAGAGGAACACCCCCUUCCCUUGUCUAAACACCCACGAGGAUGCCCAGCCCCAGACACAUGUAGAAACCC
rnacentral:lncRNA from 1 species